GUGAGUAACACGUGGGCAACCUGCCCGGAAGUCUGGGAUAACAGUGCGAAAGUGCUGCUAAUACCGGAUACCUUCACGGAACCGCAUGGUUCUGUGCAGAAAGUUUUUCGCUUCCGGAUGGGCCCGCGUCCCAUUAGCUAGUUGGUGAGGUAACGGCUCACCAAGGCGACGAUGGGUAGCUGGUCUGAGAGGACGAUCAGCCACACUGGAACUGAGACACGGUCCAGACUCCUACGGGAGGCAACAGUGGGGAAUCUUGCGCAAUGGGCGAAAGCCUGACGCAGCAACGCCGCGUGAACGAUGAAGGCCUUCGGGUCGUAAAGUUCUGUCAAGGGGGACGAUAAUGACGGUACCCCUGGAGGAAGCCCCGGCUAACUACGUGCCAGCAGCCGCGGUAAUACGUAGGGGGCGAGCGUUGUCCGGAAUUAUUGGGCGUAAAGGGCGUGUAGGCGGCCGAUCAAGUCAGGUGUGAAAUUCCAGGGCCCAACCCUGGACGUGCACUUGAAACUGGUUGGCUUGAGUGCAGAAGAGGAAAGUGGAAUUCCCAGUGUAGCGGUGAAAUGCGUAGAUAUUGGGAGGAACACCAGUGGCGAAGGCGACUUUCUGGUCUGUAACUGACGCUGAGGCGCGAAAGCUAGGGGAGCAAACAGGAUUAGAUACCCU
rnacentral:rRNA from 1 species